CUAUAGGAGUUUACGGCCCAAGAACAAGUCGUGGCCAUAAACUCCCUAAAAAUGACACAAAUUAUGAUGUUUAAUCCUUCCCUCUUGGUCCAAAACACACACCACUAAAUCAAGGAAGUGAGAUAAAGCCCUAAACACACAUUUUGGAGUGUCACAAGAGUUUACGGCCAAGCCUAGGGGGCUUACGGCCGUAAACUCCCAAUGGGUGGGUUUUAGGCCAUAAACUCUAAGAAAGUGAACUCAUGGACCCUCCCAUAAAUCAUCCAUGGCCUUGUACCACUCCCGGGAACCCUUUUCUAGGCCUUAAAACCCCGAAAACGAUGCUAUAAUGUCCAAAUACUAUAAUGUAAAGCAUAAGAUGAUUAACCUCUUGUAAAAUACAUAUUUCAUAUGACAUUAGGGUCCUAAAAGGUGCUCAAGUGGUUAUUUGGUACCAAACGCUCAAUCGACACUAUUACCCGAUUUACCCGAUUCACCCGAUUUCCGCGAUUUCAGGUGAGUUCAUACCCCUUUAAUGAACCUUUCAAAUGUUUUAAAUGUUUUAGGGGGGAGAUACAAGUUGCUUAUAAAUGUAUAUGCAAAGUUUUACAGAACGAUUUCCGAGUUACGAGGAUUAAUCACAUGUGAUUCACUACUCUUAGCUCAAAUCACAUGUGAUUUGUCCCUAUGCCCUAAGAAAACGGAUUUUACCCUUUACAAACUAUUUUUAAAUAGUGAAUCAGAAUUUAAAUGUUCUUUUGGAAAAGUACUUUUAUUAAAUCUAUUUGCUUAUAAAAGGUAACCACUUUGAUAUAUUUAUAUAAAUAAGACUUGGGGGGACUUAGGACCGAUAUCUCGCCUUAUUUCCUGUUCUUGUUUGAUUGUGGGCUUAGGGUAGUAGUUAUCCGUCCGACUGUCGUUGAUUUCUUACCUAUAUAAAAUUUGUAUAUCAGUAUGGGAUACGAAUAUUACUGCUUUCACUUAAUGCUAAAGUCACUAACGUGCUAAGAAACAUCCCCACUAAGAUAACCAUAAUAGGUAUGGUUAGGGUCGCUACCGCUACUACUCGCUAAAGUUAUGACUAUCUACACUAUAAUACUCACUAUUACUAGACGAUACACUAGUAAGAGAAUACACUAUGAUCAAUACUAAAAGAUUACUACACUAUAACCAUAGAGAAAACACUAAACAAACAAUAAUACACUAACCCGCUACGAGAUACUCUAUUCGCUAUUCACUACGCCCGGAGUGUUCCAGCAGGAGACGACUCUACAUGUAUAGAUCUAUACGGGGCAGACGCUAUUACAUCCCGACUGUUAAUCUCAGUCCGCGCCGUGCAGGCCCAGGGAUGCCACUACUUACUAUACUGUGCAUGAUCGGGAAGGUCAUGGGAUCCUCUAUUAUCCUCACUAUUAGUAAUAUACAAGGAAUACGCUACAACUACUCUAAAAUACCACACUAAAUGCUAAACUGCAUCCCGAAGUAAGUAAGUAUCUAUCACUAAAGGAAGCUUGCACCUCUAUCACUGAUUUCAGGCUCAACCUAUUCUAUCACAUUUAUUACUUGGAGUUUUGCCAAUAUACUUUACAAUAAACUGUUUCAAAGAAAUGAAGAAUGCAUACUUUUCACAGAUUGUCACUAAAAAUGUAUUUUCUGGAAAAAUAUGGGAUUUUUCUAAGUUUCUACUACUUAUGAAUAAAAAUGAUACAUUUUUCGCACUAAUGCUUUGUAUACAAAACUCACACUAAACUCUUAUGAACUCACCAGCUUUAUGCUGAUAAUUGUUUUCAAAAUAACUUGUAUCUUCAGGUCAAAGAUAGACAGGUACAGACGCGGCAUUUUUGGAGAAGGUGGAGCACACAAGACCCAUCUCUUAUUUUUGAUUUACUUUUGGGUGAUUGUUAAACAUUACAAAACACGCAUGUAAUUAAAUUCACUAUGUAAUACUAUGGUUGUAUGUUUCUUGUUUCUACUAUUAUGCAAUUGUGAUGAUACUGUUCACUACGUCAUCCACCCCGAAACGUAUUCCGCCGUUAUCGGUUUUGGGGUGUGACAGAUUGGUAUCAGAGCAUUGUUUAUAGUGAAUCAAGUAUAUCAACCUAUAAAAGAUAUACGAACUAUAAACACUUCGGGACUAAAACACUCUGACCAAGAAUAUAUACUGUUAAGUAUCUAAAAGAUCUAACUAAGUAUAUAUAUACACACAUCACUAUGAAACACAGGAAUCAGUAUCAUCCUAGAACAAAACAAAAGUAUUAAGAUUGUUGGGCAGCACAAUUGGGUUUAGAGACAUAUAGUCACAUUCAGGAUGAUGUAGCCUGAUCAACUACGUUUUCCUGAGGGUGACUAGCAUGUGCCUAAGUUUGGUUGUGAUGUUGCAACAAGUCUAAAACUUACCAACAAUACCACAAUAACGCUAACAUAAGAAUACUAUAGGAGUAUUCUGUAUCUCUAGAUUAUACGUAUGUGUUAACAAAAAGGGUCGUUACUAGUAGGACAAUAGUUGCUAAGUGGAUACACCACGAUUACAUGUGAUUGGGGCGCUAUAGACUCAGAAUCUGCAGCCUUUGCUUCAUUCCCUGUUCUUGUUUGAUUGGGGGUCUGAAGUUAGGGUGGUUUAUUCGAAGGACUAUCUUGCUUCGAUUACAUGUAAUCGGUAUGCACUAUGCAAGUAUUGGGUCAACUGGUAAUGAUUCCUCCUAUAAGUAUCUUAGAAUAGUACGUCUAUUAAUCUUCUUUCCCCCUUUCUCGCGUAGAUAGCAUGGCUGGCUUCCACCUACCCGGCGAUCCGUACUUUCCGAACCAGGGCAAUGGAGGAUGGCUCGAAGAGGAGUCAGACGACGAUCACCCUAUUCCUUUGGAUGAUCAUCAUGCUGAAGGCUUCUCGGAUAGCUCGAGCUCCGAGCCAGAAGUCAACAACCAACCUCCUGAAGCCCCGAACCCUAACCCCCGACCGGCAUUUCAGGGCCCCACUCCUAUGUGGGCAAUAUCCUUGCAUCGAUGGAGCGAGGAGCAGGGUCAGCCCUUGCCUUACAAUGGAGACCGAAGCUUCUACAACAUAAGCGAAGGAGGAUCAGCAGAUCGGGUUCUGCCCAUCAUGAUCCGAAGAAUUGCCAGGAAUGUUGAGCAAAGUCAAGCUGCCAUUGGUCGAGUGGUAGAAGUGGAUGCCAACUCAAACCUCAACACUGUUCGCAUCCGCCAACUCGAAGAAGCCAUGGACAGGACAAGGAGGACCAACGAGGCUCUGCAGCAUCAGCUGGCUGCAUCCCGAGCUGAAGUUAGGGAACUCCGAGCACGCCAAAGGACUCAUGAUCGACACCUUCAAGAAGUUAUGCGUCAACUAGCGGAUCUGAGGAUUCGCCCAACAAGCAACCGUCGCCAGUAGAAGACAUCUAGUUACCUCACUCUUUUGUUUAAAGGACUAGCCUUUUAUCUCUAUGUUCCGUAGGUCUCUUGUCUGUAAACAUUCCUAGUUUAAAAGUACUCUAGCUGAACCUCUAAACUGCCAACAUUUUCUCUAUGGUAUGAUGUAAGACCUACUGCUAGGUCAAUUUUCAUGAACUUCUGUUGCAUCAUUAAUACCAGUAUAUUGGCAGAUGAUUUCUCUAUUGCUAUAACUCUUACCCUGAUCUUGGAUUAUGUUGAUUUAAUCCACGAAACACUCUAUUCAUAUUCGCAAUAGGCUCUUACUAUUGCUAUCAUUUCUAUGAUCUUCCAGUGAAGGAUGCCUCCACGAAAGCGUCCCAGCAGAGGAAGACCUGAAACUCAAACCCCUCCUCCACCACCUCCUCCUCCGCAGUUCGAUCCGGUGUUGUUCCAAGCGGCUGUGACUGCGGCUGUAACAGCAGCCAUGGCCCAAAUGAACUCGGGUGAUGCGAGCGGUGGAAAUUCUAGAUUUGGUGAAGUCCACCAACGAGUGCAGGGAUGCACUUAUAAGGACUUCAUGAAUUGUAAACCUGCUUUCUUUGAUGGUACCGGAGGAAUUCUGGCAUUGUCCCAAUGGUUCGAAAGAACCGAAGCUGUAUUCGAAAUGUGCUCUUGUCCCGAAGAGAGCAAAAUCAAGUUCGCUACUGCUACCCUCACUAACAGGGCUUUGUCAUGGUGGAACGGCCAUGUCAACGCACUCUCCUUGGUCACAGCCAAUGCCAUGGGCUGGGACACUCUAAAAGAUCUUAUGAGAGGGGAGUACUGCCCUAGGGGCGAAGUUCAGAAGCUUGAGGAAGAACUCUGGAACCUCAAGAUGAAGGGGACCGACAUAACGGCUUAUACGGCCAGGUUUUGCGACUUGGCGGCUAUGUGUCCCAACAUGAUCCCCUCUGAAAGCAAGAAGAUUGAACGUUACAUCUGGGGUUUAGUGCCCCCGUAUCGAGGAAAUGUUCUGGCUUCACGCCCUACCACUUUCGACAGCGCCAAGGAAUUGGCCCAGAGUCUGAUCAACCACGAAAUCUCCUCCACUCCAGCAACAACAACCACAACUACCACUGCACCAUCCGGAUCAUCUGACAGAAAAAGGAAACGAUGGGAUAAGAAGAAGGGCAAGAAGACUCAAACCGCCUCCAAGGACCAGCAAAUUGUGGCGGUCCAUGCUGCCACCACCCCAGCCGCACCAGCUGCUCCAGCCCCACCGAAAGCUUACAGUGGGAAUUUGCCUAAGUGCCCCAAGUGCCCUUUUCACCACAACGGUCCAUGCCGUGAAUUGCAGUGUUCCAACUGCGGACGGAAGGGCCAUACUGUCCGAUUUUGCAAGGCCCCUCCCAAACCUAUUACACAGGUUCCUAGUAUGGGAGUGACCCCGACUUGUUAUGGAUGCGGUGAAGCGGGCCAUUUUAAGAAGAACUAUCCGAAAGCUGCAAAUGCUGGGGGGACUGGAAGGUUACUUGCUAUCGGUCACAAUGAAGCGGUAGCUGAUCCCACGGUGGUCACGGGUACGUUUCUUCUCAACAACUCUUAUGCCUGUGUCUUAUUCGAUAGUGGUGCAGAAAGAAGCUUCAUAAAUCAAAACUUUAAACACUUACUCAAACAAACCCCUCAACCACUAAAAGAAACAUUCGUCGUAGAAAUGGCUAAUGGGAAGACAGAAAGCUCUAAUGAAAUCUAUAUAGGUUGUACUCUCACGUUAGAUGAUCACCCCUUUUUAAUCGAUCUUAUACCAGUCUCAAUCAAAAAUUUCGAUGUCAUUGUUGGUAUGGAUUGGCUAAGCCUUCACUACGCCGACAUCCUAUGUUCCGAGAAAGCCAUUCGCCUGAACUUUCCGAAUCGAGAGACCCUAUUGAUAUACGGAGAUAAGCCAAGUACAAACCUUCGUAUCAUCUCUAGUAUUCAGGCUCAGAAAUACUUGCGCAAGGAAUAUCGCGCCUUUCUUGCCCACGUCGUCGACACUAACCAGAAAUCGAAAGAUCCAAAAGACAUUCUAGUAGUAUGCGAUUAUCCUGAUGUCUUUCUGGAGGAUCUCCCAGGCCUACCUCCUAAACGACACGUUGAAUUCAGAAUCGACCUAAUCCCAGGAACUACCCCCGUAGCUAAGUCGCCCUACCGCCUAGCGCCCGCCGAAAUGCAAGAACUAUCCGGUCAACUCAACGAACUGCUCAGCAAGGGCUUUAUAAGACCGAGCUUCUCACCUUGGGGAGCUCCGGUCUUGUUCGUGAAGAAAAAGGAUGGGUCAUUUCGGAUGUGCAUCGAUUAUAGGGAACUCAAUAAACUCACGAUCAAAAAUCGCUAUCCUCUCCCUCGUAUCGACGACCUAUUCGACCAACUCCAAGGAGCCAGUUACUUCUCCAAGAUUGAUCUUAGAUCGGGGUACCAUCAAUUGCGGGUGCUUGAGGAAGAUGUUCCAAAGACAGCUUUCCGAACCCGCUACGGGCAUUUCGAGUUCGUAGUGAUGCCCUUUGGACUGACUAACGCCCCCGCAGUAUUCAUGGACUUGAUGAAUAGGGUAUGUCGUCCAUAUCUAGACCAGUUCGUCAUCGUCUUUAUUGACGACAUACUUGUCUACUCUCGGAGCGAGGAAGAGCACAGAAGCCAUUUACGAUUAGUCCUGGAAACCCUGCGAUCCGAGAAGCUGUAUGCGAAGUUCUCUAAGUGCGAGUUUUGGAUCCGGAGAGUUGAAUUCUUAGGGCACGUGGUCAGUGAAGACGGAAUCCACGUGGACCCCUCAAAAAUCAAAGCUAUUGAGAACUGGUCAGCACCAAAGACGCCUACGGAAAUUCGUCAAUUUCUAGGCCUCGCUGGCUACUACCGUCGGUUCAUCCAAAAUUUCUCUCGGAUUGCGAAACCUCUCACCAUGCUAACACAGAAGGGUGUAUCAUUCGACUGGGAAGAGAAACAGGAGAAGGCAUUUCAGACCCUGAAGCGAGCCCUAUGCACCGCACCAGUAUUAUCCCUUCCCGAAGGGACAGAAGAUUUCGUCGUAUACUGUGAUGCAUCCAAUCAGGGGCUCGGUUGUGUCUUGAUGCAACGAGGCAAGGUUAUCGCCUAUGCCUCGAGACAGCUAAAGAACCAUGAAGUGAACUACACUACUCACGACCUCGAGUUAGGAGCGGUCGUCUUCGCACUAAAAAUCUGGAGACACUACUUGUAUGGGACGAAGAGCGUGGUGUACACUGAUCAUAAAAGCCUCCAACAUAUACUGAACCAGAAAGAACUCAACAUGAGACAGCGUCGAUGGGUCGAAUUACUUAACGAUUACGACUGUGAAAUUAGAUAUCAUCCGGGGAAAGCCAACGUAGUAGCAGACGCCCUGAGCAGAAAAGAAUAUUCCGGACGAAGGACCAAGUCGUUGACAAUGACUAUACACUCACAUCUAUCCACGCAGAUCAAAGAGGCUCAGCUGGAAGCUCUAAAGCCUGGAAACGUGACGGGAGAAUUCCUGCGUGGAAUGGAUAAAAAUCUGGAGGUUAAGGGUGACGGAGCCUAUUACUUUAUGGACCGAAUCUGGACUCCACGCCAUGGAGGUUUCAGAGAUUUGGUUAUGAGAGAAGCACACAACACUCGUUACUCCGUCCACCCGGGUUCAGAUAAGAUGUAUCUGGAUCUCAAAAAGCUUUACUGGUGGCCGAACAUGAAAGCAGAGAUCGCUACCUUUGUAGGUAAGUGCCUUACUUGCGCGAAGGUCAAAGUAGAAUGUCAAAAGCCAUCAGGACUCCUCCAACAACCAGAAAUACCAGAAUGGAAGUGGGAGCGAAUCACAAUGGACUUCAUCACCAAGCUGCCCAAGACAGCAGGUGGAUUAGAUACCAUUUGGGUCAUCGUUGACAGGUUGACCAAGUCCGCCCACUUCCUACCCAUCAAAGAGACGGAUAAGAUGGAAAAGCUCACUAGGACUUAUAUAAAAGAAAUAGUGCGAUUGCAUGGCGUCCCUAUAUCUAUUAUAUCAGACAGAGAUAGUAGAUUCACCUCUAGAUUUUGGCAAUCAUUACAAAAGGCACUAGGGACGAGGCUGGAUAUGAGUACAGCCUACCAUCCGCAGACUGACGGACAAAGUGAGAGGACGAUCCAAACAUUAGAAGACAUGCUGCGAGCUUGUGUGAUCGACUUCGGGAAAUCGUGGGAUACACACUUACCUCUUGUGGAGUUUUCCUACAACAAUAGUUAUCACACGAGCAUCAAGGCAGCUCCAUUCGAAGCUCUCUACGGCCGAAAGUGCAGAUCCCCUUUGUGCUGGGCCGAGGUGGGAGACACUCAGUUAGCUAAAGGACGAGUUCCUGAUAGCGCCCUCACUGGUCCAGAGAUCAUUCGAGAGACGACCGAGAAGAUUGUACAGAUACGUGAACGACUAAAAGCCGCUAGGGAUCGACAGAAGAGCUACGCCGACAAACGAAGGAAACCCUUGGAAUUCCAGGUCGGAGACCGGGUCCUUCUGAAGGUUUCGCGCUGGAAAGGCACGAUAUGCUUUGGGAAGCGUGGAAAGUUGAACCCAAGGUACAUAGGGCCUUUUGAGAUUAUUGCUAGAAUCGACCCCGUAGCUUACAAACUAAACUUACCCUGCAAGCUAAGUAACAUACAUCCUACCUUUCAUGUCUCAAACUUGAAGAAAUGUCUGUCGGACGAGACUCUCGUGAUCCCCCUCGACGAGAUCGAGAUCAAUGGGAGCCUCAACUUCGUGGAAGAACCUGCUGAGGUUUUGGAUCGUGAAGUAAAGCGGACGAAACAAAGCCGCAUCCCAAUUGUGAAGGUUCGGUGGAACGCCAAGCGAGGACCGGAAUUCACUUGGGAGCGCGAAGAUCAAAUGAAACUCAAAUACCCUCAUCUCUUCGCUUAGUAGUAUUGUAAUAUCGUAUCUGUUUGUAUUCUAAAAUUUCGGGACGAAAUUCCCCUAACGGGGGGAUGAUGUGACAACCCCAAAUCUAAUUCCGUUACAGAUCCCAUUUUCACUAACGGAACGUGUCACUAUACGUUAUUUUAUGUAAUAUUUGGAAUCGUCAAUAUCCGAAUAUCUAAGUUUAUGCAUGGCUUGAUAUUAUUAUAAGAAAUAUAACUCGUAUGUGUUAACCCCGUUUAACCUAAUAGAGUUGUAUUACCUUUUCAACCACUUCACCCGGGUAAAAAGUUUUAACCCAGUUAACUUUAAACAUCGGGUAGCCGUGUAUCGGGUGCGAUUCCCGAGACAUAUGCAAUGGGUGUGCACAACAUUUGAACACUCAUUUACUACACACCCACUCUCUCUCUCUACUUUCUCUCUCUAGACUCGAAAUCGACCCCGAUUCCGCUAAUUUCCGACUUCCAAACGUAAGUACUCAUCCUCUAUCUUAAUCUAGUCAUGUUUCAUGGAAUUUAGGGGCCAAAAAUCAUGGAAACCAAGGACCAUAAAGGAGUUUACGGCCUAAGAAGCUCCUUAGGCCGUAAACCCCCAAAUCCAUGCCAAAGACCAAGUUUUUCCUUCUUUUAAGCUAGUAUACUAAUUAAGGCAUAUAUCUAGAAGGGUUUGGACACUAAAACACAAGGAUUUGACAUGUAAAAAGGAGUUUACGGCCCAAGCUUGUGCUUAGGCCGUAAACACCUCAAACACCUCAUAAAUCUAUGUUUAAAGUCCCAAAAGAUCAAUUAGGGUGUUUGGUAAUUUAGACAUGACAACAAGGAAGGCUUAAGUGCAUUAAACAUCAUCAUUUGAACACAAAAAGAGGAGUUUACGGCCAAGGCUAAGCUUGGGCCGUAAACACCCAAAUUUUUGUGUCAAACAAGUCCCUAAACUACCCUAAUGCAUGAAAGGAAUUUAUCUAAGGCCUAUGGAAGUGUGUUGUACAAUUAAACUUCACAUUUGGAAACCAAAUGAAGAGUUUACGGCCAAGGAUGUUCUUGGGCCGUAAACUCCCCAAAAAUGUAUGCCAAAUUGUUCCAAACUCACUAUAGGGCCUUCUAGGAUUUUUCUAAGCCAUUUGGGACCAUGUUGUACAAGUAAAACCUACAUCUUGAAGGGUCUAUAGGAGUUUACGGCCCAAGAACAAGUCUUGGCCGUAAACUCCCUAAAAAUGACACAAAUUAUGAUGUUUAAUCCUUCCCUCUUGGUCCAAAACACACACCACUAAAUCAAGGAAGUGAGAUAAGGCCCUAAACACACAUUUUGGAGUGUCACAAGAGUUUACGGCCAAGCCUAGGGGGCUUACGGCCGUAAACUCCCAAUGGGUGGCUUUUAGGCCAUAAACUCUAAAAGAGUGAACUCAUGGACCCUCCCAUAAAUCAUCCAUGGCCUUGUACCACUCCCGGGAACCCUUUCUAGGCCUUAAAACCCCGAAAACGACACUAGAAUGUCCAAAUACUAUAAUGAAAAGCAUAAGAUGAUUAACUUCUUGUAAAAUACAUAUUUCAUAUGACAUUAGGGUCCUAAAAGGUGCUCAAGUGGUUAUUUGGUACCAAACGCUCAAUCGACACUAUUACCCGAUUUACCCGAUUCACCCGAUUUCCGCGAUUUCAGGUGAGUUCAUACCCCUUUAAUGAACCUUUCAAGUGUUUUACAUGUUUUAGGGGGAAGAUACAAGUUGCUUGUAAAUGUUUAUGUAAAGUUUUACAAAACGAUUUCCGAGUUACAAGGAUUAAUCACAUGUGAUUCACUACUCUUAACUCAAAUCACAUGUGAUUUGUCCCUAUGCCCUAAGAAAACGGAUUUUACCCUUUACAAACUAUUUUUAAACAGUGAAUCAGAAUUUAAAUGUUCUUUUGGAAAAAUACUUUUAUUAAAU
rnacentral:lncRNA from 1 species